rnacentral:tRNA from 1 species
AAAGGGAGACCUAAUUCGGGUAUAAGACGAAAAAAUAGUAGUCGAAACCAAGAAUCAAUCCCAAAAGGUCGGAACGAGGCAUGAGGCUUUCAAACUAGGUUCUGGGUUCAUAAAAGACCUGAAUCAGGAACAAGGGCUAUUAGCUCAGGUGGUUAGAGCGCACCCCUGAUAAGGGUGAGGUCCCUGGUUCGAGUCCAGGAUGGCCCACCUGCACAGGUGGCAAAAAAAAGAAAAGAAGCGAGGAAUCAGCACCUUAUCUUAUCUAUAUAUAAGAGAGAAUGCUGGCUCUGAGUACAGAGUCCAGAGGAACCUUGAAAACUGCAUAGAGCUAGGUGAAAAAGCCAAAAAAGAAGACCGCAAG